ensembl:lncRNA
GUUCUGUAAUGCUAUAAAGGGAUGGAAAGUACCAUGAUAGUAACAGGGUGGUAAAGUCUUUAGCAACAAAUAAGAACAAGCCCAAGUGCAGCAGCCACAGAUACAAAAAUAAAAGAAAAAAAGGCUGCUUAGCUUUGGAAAACAUCAGGGAAAUAGGGACCUCCAAAGAGAGAGACCCUUGCUUCCACCGCCAAACCUUACAUGAAAUCUGGGAAGAAGUGGAUCCUUGGUGAAGCUUUCCUCUGUGAACCUAGAAUCUUCUGAUAUGGGUUUGUCCUUCUCCUUCCUUCCCAGGCUCCUCUGAAUGCAGUGAGCCACAAACUGAAAUGUUUCAAGGAGUUCUUCUGGCUGAUUCAAUUCUGUCCCCGUCAAACCUAGCCUCCUGAGUAUGUCUUAUCUCAUUUCUGUGUGCCCAGUUUGGACGUCUUUAGAUAUGCUAGGCCUUCUACAAGGGAAGUGCAUUUUAAUUCCAUGUUUACUGGUCUCUUACUAAACUUAAAAGUUCAAAGAGUUCAAAAUACUUAGUCUCUACCUUCAGCCCUUAGAAGGUUCAGGCUUUGCUCGUCUGUCUCUUAAGUUGGCAUUUGCAUUCCAGAAGCCAGAACGCGCUCUUCUGCCCUUUGGUUUUCAGCCCAACAACCCUCAUCUGAAAAGCUGAUGUCUACACACAAGUCUCUGUGGCCUUCUGCUGCACCACGUUGUCAUGGUUUUAUGAUUUCUGGUUAUCAGUAUUCCACAUCACAACAUCAUGCAGUGUACUGGGAGUUAAAGAGCAAAUGCUUUAGUUCCGGGUACCUGUCUGGAAGAGAAGAAGAACUACAUUCCCCAAGAGCCUUUUCGAGUACUGUUAUCAUUCCUGCUCAAGGGAACAGAUAUAAGGGCGCAGGUCAUCUGACUUGCCCCUCUUCUCGUCUCGCUGUGUUCCUUGUCGGAUCGGCUCGCUACUGCUGCUCCUGACUGCGUGCAAGGCUUCAGUAUUAGCCCUACCUGAAGAAGUGAUGCUAGGUCCUCAGAAGUUCUCUCACCAAGAAGUUCUCUUCAGUUGUACUAAAGGCCUACUGAGGGAAACACAAAGCAUGAUGUGCCCACUUUACCUGACAGAAGUCUACUCUCCACACUGCAGCUAACACGAACAUCCUACAGUUGGUUGGAUUGUUACUUUUGAGAAGACAUUUCUGAUGGGACUGUAUUUUUUUGGUGUUCGAAAUUUUACUGACAAAUCUGAUCAAAAGCAUUAAAACCAACAGAAAAUUUCCUAUAUACUGUUACAGAUUGGCCCUGCCAGAACAUCUCUAGACCCAACAGCAUACCUAAAGAAGCAAUAAAAGAAUGUGU